AUAUUGGUCAAUGGGCGUAAGCCUGAACCAGCCAAGUAGCGUGAGGGAAGACUGCCCUAUGGGUUGUAAACCUCUUUUGUGCGGGGAUAAAGUGAGGGACGUGUCCCUUAUUGCAGGUACCGCACGAAUAAGGACCGGCUAAUUCCGUGCCAGCAGCCGCGGUAAUACGGAAGGUCCGGGCGUUAUCCGGAUUUAUUGGGUUUAAAGGGAGCGCAGGCCGUCCUUUAAGCGUGCUGUGAAAUGCCGCGGCUCAACCGUGGCACUGCAGCGCGAACUGGAGGACUUGAGUACGCACGAGGUAGGCGGAAUUCGUGGUGUAGCGGUGAAAUGCUUAGAUAUCACGAAGAACUCCGAUUGCGAAGGCAGCUUACCGGAGCGCAACUGACGCUGAGGCUCGAAAGCGCGGGUAUCGAACAGGAUUAGAUACCCUGGUAGUCCGCGCGGUAAACGAUGGAUGCCCGCCGUUGGGUUUUAGAAUUCAGCGGCCAAGCGAAAGCGUUAAGCAUCCCACCUGGGGAGUACGCCGGCAACGGUGAAACUCAAAGGAAUUGACGGGGGCCCGCACAAGCGGAGGAACAUGUGGUUUAAUUCGAUGAUACGCGAGGAACCUUACCCGGGUUUAAAUGGGAAAUGUCGUAUUUGGAAACAGAUGAUUCUCUUCGGAGCGUUUUUGAAGGUGCUGCAUGGUUGUCGUCAGCUCGUGCCGUGAGGUGUCGGCUCAAGUGCCAUAACGAGCGCAACCCCUGUCCAUAGUUGCCAUCAGGUUAUGCUGGGCACUCUGUGGAGACUGCCGCCGUAAGGUGUGAGGAAGGUGGGGAUGACGUCAAAUCAGCAC
rnacentral:rRNA from 1 species